ACACAUAUCCUGAGAAGAGGUCCUCUGUAACGCCUCACCAGACAUGAAGACUCUCCUGUGGUUAUUCAGCGCUUUAUUGUCACUCCAAUUGGCCACAUCACAAAUUUCAAUGGUGGAGUCUGGUCCUGGGAUUGUGAAGCCUUCAGAGACUCUGGACAUGACCUGUAAAGUGACCGGGGCGUCCCUCACUGACAGCACUAACAUGUAUUGUGUAAACUGGAUCAGACAACCCGAAGGGAAAGGACUGGACUGGUUAGGAAGAAUAUGUUAUGAGAAUAGCAAAUAUUAUGCCCAGUCUCUUCAGGGACGUCUAACUCUAACAAGAGACACAAAUAAAGGAGAAGUUUAUCUUCAACUCACUGGAGUGAAACCUGAAGAAUCUGGGAAA